AUCAACGCUGGCGGCGCGCCUAACACAUGCAAGUCGAGCGAGAAAGGGGAGCAAUCCCUGAGUAAAGCGGCGUACGGGUGAGUAAACACGUGGAUGAUCUACCCUCUAGUGGGGAAUAACCCUGGGAAAACCGGGGCUAAUACCGCAUAAGCACGAGAGUGGAAAGCAGCAAUGCGCUGGAGGAGGAAGUCCCGCGGCCGAUUAGCUAGUUGGGCAGGGUAAAAGCCUACCAAGGCAAGGAUCGGUAAGCCGGCCUGAGAGGGCACACGGCCACACUGGCACUGAAACACCGGGCCAGACUCCUACGGGAGGCAGCAGUGGGGAAUCUUGCACAAUGGGGGGAAACCCUGAUGCAGCGGACGCCGCGUGAGCGAUGAAGCCCUUCGGGUGUUAAAGCUCUUUCGGCAGGGAAGAUGAUGACGGUUACCUGCAGAAGCAGCUGCGGCUAACUACGUGCCAGCAGCCGCGGUUAAAUACGUAGGCAGCAAGCGUUGUUCGGAGUUACUGGGCGUAAAGGGUGCGUAGGCGGUUGUUUAAGUUUGGUGUGAAAUCUCCCCGGCUCAACUGGGAGGGUGCGCCGAAUACUGAAUGACUCGAGUGCGGGAGAGGAGAGUGGAAUUCCUGGUGUAGCGGUGAAAUGCGUAGAUAUCAGGAGGAACACCGGUGGUGUAGACGGCUCUCUGGACCGUAACUGACGCUGAGGCACGAAAGCGUGGGUAGCAAACAGGAUUAGAUACCCUGGUAGUCCACGCCCUAAACGAUGCAUAUUUGGUGUGGGCAGUUCAGUCUGUCCGUGCCGGAAGCUAACGCGUUUAAAUAUGCCGCCUGGGGGGUACAGUCGCAAGGCUGAAAACUCAAAGGAAUUGACGGGGGCCCGCACAAGCGGUGGGGCAUGUGGUUCAAUUCGACGCAACGCGAAGAACCUUACCUGGGCUCGAACGGCUGGUCAACGGAGGUGGAAACAUCUUUACCCCGCAAGGGGUCCAGUCGAGUGCUGCAUGGCUGUUGUCAGCUCGUGUCGUGAGAUGUUGGGUUUAAGUCCCGCAACGAGCGCAACCCUUGUCCUGUGUUGCCAUCAUUCAGUUGGGAAACUCGCAGGAGAACCGCCAGGGGAUAACCUGGAGGAAGGUGGGGAUGACGUCAAGUCCUCAUGGCCUUUAUGUCCAGGGCUACACACGUGCUACAAUGGACGGUACAAAGCGCAGCGAACCCGCGAGGGGGAGCCAAUCGCAAAAAAAACCGUUCUCAGUUCGGAUUGCAGGCUGCAACUCGCCUGCAUGAAGCUGGAAUCGCUAGUAAUGGCAGAUCAGCACGCUGCCGUGAAUACGUUCCCGGGCCUUGUACACACCGCCCGUCACAUCACGAAAGCCGGCUGUACUAGAAGUCGCCUCGCCAACCCGCAAGGGAAGUAAGCGCCUAAGGUAUGGGUCGGUGAUUGGGGUG
rnacentral:rRNA from 1 species